ACUCUAGCGAGACUGCCGGUAAUAAACCGGAGGAAGGUGGGGAGUGACGUCAAUCAUCAUGCCCCUUAUGACCUGGGCUACACACGUGCUACAAUGGUUGGUACAACGAGUUGCGAGUCGGUGACGGCGAGCUAAUACUCUUAAAGCCAAUCUCAGUUCGGAUUGUAGGCUGCAACUCGCCUACAUGAAGUCGGAAUCGCUAGUAAUCGCGGAUCAGCACGCCGCGGUGAAUACGUUCCCGGGCCUU
rnacentral:rRNA from 1 species